CCAGACUCCUACGGGAGGCAGCAGUGGGGAAUAUUGCACAAUGGGGGAAACCCUGAUGCAGCGACGCCGCGUGAGCGAUGAAGUAUUUCGGUAUGUAAAGCCCUAUCAGCAGGGAAGAAGAUGACGGUACCUGACUAAGAAGCCCCGGCUAACUACGUGCCAGCAGCCGCGGUAAUACGUAGGGGGCAAGCGUUAUCCGGAUUUACUGGGUGUAAAGGGAGCGUAGGCGGCGUGCCAAGUCUGAUGUGAAAGGCCGGGGCUCAACCCCGGGACUGCAUUGGAAACUGGCAUGCUGGAGUGCCGGAGGGGCAAGCGGAAUUCCUAGUGUAGCGGUGAAAUGCGUAGAUAUUAGGAGGAACACCAGUGGCGAAGGCGGCUCACUGGACUGUAACUGACGUUGAGGCUCGAAAGCGUGGGGAGCAAACAGGAUUAGAUACCCGGGUAAU
rnacentral:rRNA from 1 species